UUUCUCUAGUUUACUUAAUUGUAAGAAUACCGUAUAUAAUAUGUAUAUGUGUAUAUGUAUAUAUAAAUAUGUAAAAUAUGUAUUAAUUAUCUGUUUAUGUUAUUGGUAAGACUUCCAGUGAACAGUGGGCUAUGAGUAGUUUAAGUUUUUGGGGAGUCAAAAGUUAUAUUUAGCUUUUUGACUAUGCGGGAAGUCGGUGCCCCCAAACCCCACACUGUUUGAGGAUCAACUUUAUAUAUUAGUUCUCUGUGGUAUCAAUAGUAGGUUGGUUUUUCUACAUUAGCAACAAAUUCAUAAUAGUAAAUAUUCACCCUUCACUCUAGAGAUGGGAGGUUACUUCUAGGCCCUUACCGCACGUAACCCUACAGCAAUCCCUUAAGGACAUAGGUCCUGGUGCUGCAGGUGGCAGGCCAGCUUGUGAGAAUUUCAAGAAGAUAUAAAAUAUUUGAGUCUUGAAAAAAGAGUGGCGCUAAACCAUGAAUAAAAACUGCAAAAUCAAAAUUAGUAAAAAUUUAGUGAAAUACUGUUCUAAACUACCAUUACAUUAGCAACACUAAUUGUUAACACGUACUGUUAACAAACUUCCAUUACAUUUGAAAAUACUUUGUGGAUUAGGUUUUUUUUUCAUUUUGUGAGAAAUUCUGAAGUAUGUACGUUUGCCAAAGAAUCAGAGCUGAUCAUAAGCAAAAUGAGUUUUGCAUAUGUAAUUUUGAUUGUAGAUAAAAACUUUCAAAUGGUUACAGGAAGCUCAUUAAUGGGAAUGGGAAUCAUUGUAAAAAUGUUUGAAAUGUACAGGGUGGAUUUUCUUAUUUAUUUAUUGUAGAGGGGCAGGGGAGGGGCAGAGAGAGUCUUAGGCAGGGUGCACUGAGCAUGGAGCCUGACACGGGGCUCCGGCUCACGAGCCAGAGAUCAGAACCUGAGCCCAAACCUUGACUGCUUAACCACCCACACCACUCAGGUGCCCCAUUAACCUACCUUGUUUUCUCAUUCAUUCAUUCAUUCAUUCAUUUACUAAUUGGGCUCCAUGCCCAGGGUAGGGCUUGAAUUCACAACCCUGAGAUCAGGAGUCACAUGCACUACCAACUGAGCCAGCCAGGAGCCCCUACAGGGUGGAUUUUCUAGAAGAAGCCAAGGUCUGGGCCUGUGAAACUCCUAAAGUCACCCGAUUACCACCAUGCAGGAUGAGAGCUGAUUUGCCUAAGCCUGAAAAACCUUUCCUUUCUUCCCAGCCCCAAGACUAGAAGAGCAGGUAAGGGCACAGUCCCAUCUGAUGAGAACACCCCCCCGUUUCAGGUUGGUUCCUGGCACUGUUCACUCGGGGAGCUGCUCCCUCUCCACAGAGACGUCAUGGCUCCUGGUGAGGUAAUCAGGGAACCCUAUUCCUAGUUGCUUCUCUCUUAAGUUCUCUCAAAGUGGGAAAGCAAAGGUUGAGGCUGGUUGUUUGUCUGUGGCUUUGCCCCAAAUCAAGCUGACUUUCAGCCGUAGGCUACGAUAUAAUCCUAGAGGAAGUGAUUAUUUGUUUGCAAGAUCUUUGGACACUGGGAAGAGGCGUGCUAUAGGAAGCCUUGGGAACACUGCAGAGAAUGGGGAAAAGUAAAGAAGAGAACAAGAGCCUAUUGAGCACCUACUGUAUUCUGUACACUGUUAAAUCCUUUAUGUAUAUCAUAUUGUUUGGUCUUCAUAGCUGCUCUGAGAAAUAGAGAUCUCCAUUUUAUUGGAGAGCAAGGCAAAUGGUUGUUAGCGGCCAAACCUAUCCAGUUAGUGGAUGGCUUUCUAUUGCCUGAAGGGGCACCCUGUUCACUUUCUAUCACAGGGAAAAAGAAAUGUAGCUGGAGUAGAGGAGGAGGGAGAGGGAAGAGAAGGAGAGGAGAAAGAAAAACUUAAAAAAAAAAAAAAAAAGAUGAAUGUGAGAGAGCUCUGAACCUUUGCCAGUGGUUAUUAGAAGUUAAUGCUAUCUGAAGUGAGGGUAACCCCAAGAAAGACUGGAAACUAGGCACACCUUGACUCAUCUUCCAGCUUCUGGGUCACACUGGGCCAUCUAUGCCAUUUUAGGAGGAACCUAGUUUUUGGAAACUGUUUGGUAGAUUCUUGACUUAAUGCUUAUCCUGCCCAGAGACAUUGCUAUGUAAUAGGAAAAUUUCACCCAAAGUAUUGUAAGUCUCUGAACAUUUGAGAAGAGAACAUUUCUUUGCUCAGUCGGUGAUCCAGUUUCCAAGUUAGCCUUGGAAGCAGGAGGUCUCCAUUUCUUUACAGAAACAACUCUCUAAGUAUUGACUUCAGUUUCUACAGUAUUCUGUUUUUAGCUUCCUGACACACUGCUUACUGCUUUUCACUCUGGUGGAACCAGGAGGAACUCCUUCUCCCAGGCAGACCUUCCCAAUCUCUGUAGCUAUCUGACUUAAAGGUCUGAAAAGAUGUUUCAAUUUGGUUUCUCGUGGUAAAAAUGUUGAGACCUUAUUCUAAAUUUAUUUCUGGAAAUGGGUCCAUCAGCUGUCUAUUUGUUAAUGGAUUUACCGCAGUCUAGCUUGACAUCUGAGCAUAUGGGCUUUGCUCAAAAAGUAGAAAGACACAAUGACAAGGACAAAAUUCAGCUAGGGAGGAAAUGACAUUAAUAAAUUUGGAGUAUUUUUUUAAAUGUUAAAUUCGUUUGGGGUUGUUAUGAUAUGGCUAUUCGUGUCCCCUCAAAAUUCACAUGUUGAAAACUUACACCCGCCAAGGUGAUACUAUUAGGAGGUGGGGCUUUUGGGAGGUGAAUAGCACAAGAAGAUGGAACUGUCAUGAAUGGGAUCAGGGCCCUUAUAAAAGGGAUCCCAGAGAGCUCCUUCCCACUUCCACCAUGGGAGGACACAGUGAGAACUCAGCAGAAGAGGGACCACAGCAGACACCAAUCUUGGAUUUCUAAUCCCCUCAACGGUGAGCCGUAAAUCUGUUGUGUAAGCCACCAAUCUACCAUAAUUUGUUGCAGCGGCCCAAACAAACCGUGACAGGGAUAUUUGAGAUGCACUGCAUGUCAUAUUAUGGAGAACAGUAUUUCUUAAGCAGAGAAAUGGAGUAUUUCCGUAUUCAGCAUGUGAGUAAAACCAGAUCAUAGCUUUGAAUCGGAAGAACAGCUCCAUUUUUUAAUAGAUUUACCAUACAGGCAUUAUGCUGUGGGUAUUAUGAAUUUUGAAUAUGGGGAACAAAGAUUGAAUAAAGAUUUUACUUGUUUUUUUCCUAUGCCUGAGGAGUCAUUUCAUUUUCUGGGUCAGGCUGUGAGGCCAUAGAAAGCACCACCUCAGAUGUGACAAAAGUCUUAAGUCCCCCACCCUGAAGGGGAUUGUGGCUCACCAGCCAUUACCAUGGAGAAGUAAGAUACUUAAAACCUAUCUAAAUAAAAUGAAGUGACAAGAAGAAAAAAGGAAAACAAAAGCUCCACAUGGCCAAGGGAGGUUUUGUUGAUGAAGUGGAAGCUGGUCAUGGAGACACAGGAAAUUUAAUGUUCACACAGGUUUCAAUUCUGCGGCUCACUGAAGCCCCAUGGCAUGCCUAUACGGGACACAACUGUGGGCCAGGACUUGAAGAACCAUCUCAUCUCUUAGAUUUUUUCAUAGUGGCUCAUCUGUUCCCAUUUUUGAAGAUGUGGAACUUUUCCAAAAAAGCCAAACUUCAUUCCCUUGUAUAGGCUUUCUAAAGAGUUUGAUGCCAUUUUGGUAUUUUGGAUUCUCAGCUACCUAUGAGGUCUAAACAAAUCACUUUUGAGGCAAAUUCUCCUCAUGGAACAUACCCAGGUUAUCAGUCACCAGGGCCUGUCACCAGCCUCUGCUGUCUCAUCUUGUCCCUCCAGGCUGGAUGCCUCCUUCCCAAUGCUCCCCUUGCCACAUGUCUGAACAUACCACGGGUCUCUUGGAUAAAGAGCGGCUGCCUGGGGCUGGACCCUUCCUCCAUGGAAAGAAAGAGAAGCCUAUAGAAUGUCAGGGCAGGCAGCCUAACUCAGGCCUUUGUGACCUGCAUUCUCAUUUCUUUGUGAACUGCAUUCUCAUUUCUCCUUGAUGAGCAUGGUGUUGCUGGCCCCACUUGUGGAAAUAUGUGCCCGGCUCCCUGCCUUCUCCCUGCUUCAAUUUCAAGAGGGAAAAUCCCUUCUAAGAGGAAUAUUUAGAAGAUCAUAUCAUGGACUUCCUGGUACAGAAUGGUUUUGCUCCCAUUGGAUGAAAGAGUUUUUUUCCGGUUACUAUGCCCCAACCACCUUCCACCUCCCCAUUCUCCCAAUUUGCUUCUGGAUGUUUCUCUCUUACCCUGAUUUUAUUCCAGCGGGAUUAUCAAUCAAAAAUUAGAGCCCAGAAUCCAUCAGCAUUAUCAAUAAAACUUUGCAACUAUU